GGGGGGGGGGGGGGGGGGGGGGGGGGGGGGGGGGGCGGGCGGGGGGGGGGGGGGUGCUCCGGGAGUCAGCGGCGGACGGGUGAGUAAUGCCUAGGAAUCUGCCUGGUAGUGGGGGAUAACGUCCGGAAACGGGCGCUAAUACCGCAUACGUCCUGAGGGAGAAAGUGGGGGAUCUUCGGACCUCACGCUAUCAGAUGAGCCUAGGUCGGAUUAGCUAGUUGGUGGGGUAAAGGCCUACCAAGGCGACGAUCCGUAACUGGUCUGAGAGGAUGAUCAGUCACACUGGAACUGAGACACGGUCCAGACUCCUACGGGAGGCAGCAGUGGGGAAUAUUGGACAAAGGGCGAAAGCCUGAUCCAGCCAUGCCGCGUGUGUGAAGAAGGUCUUCGGAUUGUAAAGCACUUUAAGUUGGGAGGAAGGGCAGUAAGUUAAUACCUUGCUGUUUUGACGUUACCAACAGAAUAAGCACCGGCUAACUUCGUG
rnacentral:rRNA from 1 species